rnacentral:rRNA from 1 species
AUUGAACGCUAGCGGGAUGCUUUACACAUGCAAGUCGAACGGCAGCGCGGACUUCGGUCUGGCGGCGAGUGGCGAACGGGUGAGUAAUGUAUCGGAACGUGCCCAGUAGCGGGGGAUAACUACGCGAAAGCGUAGCUAAUACCGCAUACGCCCUACGGGGGCAAGCAGGGGAUCGUAAGACCUUGCACUCUUGGAGCGGCCGAUAUCGGAUUAGCUAGUUGGUGAGGUAACGGCUCACCAAGGCGACGAUCCGUAGCUGGUGUGAGAGGACGACCGGCCACACUGGGACUGAGACACGGCCCAGACUCCUACGGGAGGCAGCAGUGUGGAAUUUUAGACAAUAGGGGCAACCCUGAUCCAGCCAUCCCGCGUGUGCUAUGAAGGCGUUCGGGUUGUAAAGCACUUUUGGCAGGAAAGAAACGUCGCGGGCUAAGACCCCGUGGAACUGACGGUACCUGCAGAAUAAGCACCGGCUAACUACGUG